UCAAUUGCUUUUCUAUAAAAAAUGGGUUAAAUAUAACCCAUAUUGGGUUAUUUUUCUGACCAAUUACCUGGGUUAUUGACCAAACCCACAUCAGCACCCAGGCCCUGGGUCAUUUCAACCCUGUAAUCUAAGUUAUCUUGUCAACGAUAUUUGAAUUUUGAAUUUUACCGGUCGCCAUUGCCAAAACGGCUACCGGGCUACCAACGUCCAGAAGAGAGGACAUCGGAUGGCUUAUGAAAGCAUUGUUUCGAUGGACGUCUUUCCUCUGACCUGUUACCAAGACAGCUGGAUGUGUAAGAAGCUGGAACUAAGUCACUGAAGAAGUAAACCGAUGAAAACCGAUUUGGAUUGUCUGAGAGAUGACACAAGUAAAAGGAGAAGAAUGCUGCUCAGCUGGGUUGGCGAAGCUCUUGGAUAUCAUCAGCACAUGUAUGAAGCACAGAGUCAUUCCGGUAGGCACAGAGUCGUUCCUCGAUGGACGUGAUGACCUGGCACCAAAACCGCUUAAUGUGUAUGAAGCUGUCUGCAUCGAGGGAAGAACCCAGCACUGAAAUGACACAAAUGAAAGAAGAGUACUUCUGCUCUGCUGGGUCUGCGACACUACUUAUCCGAGGAGUCCUCAAACAUCAGGAUGUAGGAAGACACAAGUAAAAGGAGAAGAAUGCUGCUCAGCUGAGUCGGCGGUCACACUACUUAUUCAAGAAGCUCUUGGAUAUCAUCGGCA